rnacentral:lncRNA from 1 species
CGGCUCGCGCCUUCUUCUAUGUGGGUUGCUCACCCGCAAGUGGAUCCUCGUCCCCGACAACGUCGUAGUCGCCGGGGUCCGCCACUGCAGAGGUCUUCACGACCUCGCCCACGCACCAAGGAGCGUCCUUCAGGUCGCACUUGAUGGAGAGUACGCCGUAUGUUGACGGCAUCUUCAUCACGCCAUAGACGCAAUGGGUUGCCGCCAUGAACUUGAUCAGCGCCGGCCGACCAAUGAUCCCGUUGUACGGCAACGGGGUGUGAGCUACAUCGAAAACGAUGUGCUCAGUCCGGAACGCUUCCCG